GUGAUCUAGCAUGUAGAAACCACUUUGCCAAACCAUUCAACUCAGACUUGGGAAGUGCCUGUACAUUGCCGAAAUGGCGUGCCUCGUGUGUCUUUUGCCUGUUCUUAGGCGUACGUCUCAUCCCAUGCAAUAGCAAAAAGUAUAACAAACACUUCUUUAACGCUGUUGGUUACCUUGUUGCAGCCAAAUGGUGAAAGGUGUGACGAAGACAGAUUGAACCGUUGUAUACAGCAUGAGGUUGCAGUGUGAUACAAAAGUUGGACCUGAAAUUGCUGUGCUGUUGUAGCUGAGCUGUUCCAUCUGGGUUCCUGACUUGAAAAUUUUUGUGUUGUUUGCUUGCCAGUAUUUUGUGCUGUGACUUCAAAUAGUAUGAUCUGUCGUCUUUUGAGUUUUCAUUCAAUCAUGCAGUAUACGACUGAGGCAACCUGAUUAAUGUCAGGUUUGACACAGUCGAGAACUGCUAGAUAAAACAAGCUUUCUGCGCCAAACAAAUAAUAAUUUGCAUAUAACUUGCAUCAUGUUAUUAUCGCGGUAGAGAAAGCGACAGGCCCCCCCUCCUGGGGGGCCACAGGAAAAAUAUGAAUGUGAAUUUUAUAAAUUUUGUAUAAACUUUUGUUGUGAAUACAAUUUGCGUACA